UUUAAAGAUUUAUCACUUGAAGAUGGGCGUGCGUCUGAUUAGGUAGUUGGUGAGGUAACGGCUCACCAAGCCGACGAUCAGUAACUGGCGUGAGAGCGCGACCAGUCACACGGGCACUGAGACACGGGCCCGACUCCUACGGGAGGCAGCAGUAAGGAAUAUUGGUCAAUGGACGCAAGUCUGAACCAGCCAUGCCGCGUGGAGGAUGAAGGCCCUCUGGGUUGUAAACUUCUUUUAUUUGGGACGAAACACUUCUUUUCUAARGAGCUUGACGGUACCAGAUGAAUAAGCACCGGCUAACUCCGUGCCAGCAGCCGCGGUAAUACGGAGGGUGCAAGCGUUAUCCGGAUUCACUGGGUUUAAAGGGUGCGUAGGCGGACAUGUAAGUCCGUGGUGAAAUCUCCGAGCUUAACUYGGAAACUGCCAUGGAUACUAUAUGUCUUGAAUGUUGUGGAGGUUAGCGGAAUAUGUCAUGUAGCGGUGAAAUGCAUAGAUAUGACAUAGAACACCAAUUGCGAAGGCAGCUGGCUACACAAAUAUUGACGCUGAGGCACGAAAGCGUGGGGAUCAAACAGGAUUAGAUACCCUGGUAGUCCACGCCCUAAACGAUGAUUACUCGACAUACGCGAUACACAGUGUGUGUCUGAGCGAAAGCAUUAAGUAAUCCACCUGGGAAGU
rnacentral:rRNA from 1 species